rnacentral:rRNA from 1 species
GCAAAAUGCGAUAAGUAAUGUGAAUUGCAGAAUUCAGUGAAUCAUCGAAUCUUUGAACGCACAUUGCGCCCGCCAGUAUUCUGGCGGGCAUGCCUGUUCGAGCGU